rnacentral:rRNA from 1 species
UCUACCUAGUAGUACGGAAUAAUUGUUGGAAACGGCAACUAAUACCGUAUACGCCCUACGGGGGAAAAAUUUAUUGCUAUUAGAUGAGCCUAUAUUAGAUUAGCUAGUUGGUGGAGUAAUAGCCUACCAAGGCAAUGAUCUAUAGCUGAUCUGAGAGGAUGAUCAGCCACACUGGAACUGAGAUACGGUCCAGACUCCUACGGGAGGCAGCAGUGGGGAAUAUUGGACAAUGGGCGAAAGCCUGAUCCAGCCAUGCCGCAUGAGUGAAGAAGGCCUUUGGGUUGUAAAGCUCUUUUAGUGAGGAAGAUAAUGACGGUACUCACAGAAGAAGUCCUGGCUAACUCCGUGCCAGCAGCCGCGGUAAUACGGAGAGGGCUAGCGUUAUUCGGAAUUAUUGGGCGUAAAGGGCGCGUAGGCUGGUUAAUAAGUUAAAAGUGAAAUCCCGAGGCUUAACCUUGGAAUUGCUUUUAAAACUAUUAACCUAGAGAUUGAAAGAGGAUAGAGGAAUUCCUGAUGUAGAGGUAAAAUUCGUAAAUAUUAGGAGGAACACCAGUGGCGAAGGCGUCUAUCUGGUUCAAAUCUGACGCUGAAGCGCGAAGGCGUGGGGAGCAAACAGGAUUAGAUACCCUGGUAGUCCAUGCUGUAAAC